UAARAUAAGACUUAGGUCUUAGUGUAUAUGAGUUUUUGAACUAAAUCAAAAUUCAAUUUAAACAAUUUAAAUAUUUAAAUAAAGGAGCAAUAGUCUCUUUCUUGUUCUAUCAAGAGGGCGUUAUUGCUCCUUUAUUUAUUUAKUAGUAUUUGAUAUUAGUAUUUAACUUCCCUAGUUUUUUUAUUAUUAAAAUAUUAUAAAAUAAUAAAAUAAUAUAAAAUAAUAUUUUUAUAGAUUGGUUCGAUUCUUGUGCUUUCGUUUCACAAUAAUUUUAAUUUUUAUUGAAGUUUUUUUUCUUUUUCUUGGAAWUUU
rnacentral:misc_RNA from 1 species